UACAGAGGUCCCAAGCGUUGUUCGGAUUCACUGGGCGUAAAGGGUGCGUAGGCGGUCAGGUAAGUCUGAUGUGAAAUCUCUGGGCUUAACCCAGAAAUGGCAUUGGAUACUAUUUGGCUUGAGAGUUGGAGGGGGGACUGGAAUUCUUGGUGUAGCAGUGAAAUGCGUAGAUAUCAAGCGGAACACCAGUGGCGAAGGCGAGUCCCUGGACAACUCCUGACACUGAGGCACGAAAGCUAGGGGAGCAAACAGG
rnacentral:rRNA from 1 species